AUGUGUGGUGGAUGCGGAUGUACGCGUGGGGACACGCGGGAGACGUCGUGUUGUUUCCGGAAGCGGCGCCAUAAAUCCGCGCACCCUUCUCCCAUGGCUCACUCUCUCCUCUCUUCACACUCUCAUCGACGACUGAGCACCGACAGCGAGCAUCGGUGGCAAGAUCGGGACAAAGGGCAACGUCACCUCUCCUUCACACGUCCGGCAAUGGCAAAUGACAAGCUCGUCCUCAACAAUGCAGCUUCAGGGAACUCCUCAAAGGGCAAGAAUGUUUUAUUUGACAAGAAGGGCAAGGUGAUGGUGGAGCUCGCAACGCCCCGAAGAGGCGUAAGAACUAUGACCACUUCCAUGAGGACGUCAAGUCACUUAUGCAAGGUCAUACUUGCACCCCUAGUUGGAGUGUCUGCCGCCCUGUGA
rnacentral:rRNA from 1 species